CAGUCGCCGCGGGAAUACAGAGGAUGCAAGCGUUAUCCGGAAUUAUUGGGCGUAAAGGGCUCGCAGGCGGUUUCUUAAGUCUGAUGUGAAAGCCCCCGGCUCAACCGGGGAGGGUCAUUGGAAACUGGGAAACUUGAGUGCAGAAGAGGAGAGUGGAAUUCCUAGUGUAGCGGUGAAAUGCGUAGAGAUUAGGAGGAACACCAGUGGCGAAGGUGGCUUUUUGGCCUGUAACUGACACUGAGGCGCGAAAGCGUGGGGAGCAAACAGGAUUAGAUACCCCCGUAGUCCCUGUCUCUUAUAA
rnacentral:rRNA from 1 species